UUGAGGUAGAGAGUCAACGACGUAUUUACGAUGGAGAGAGAGUUUGGAGGUACUUAUGUUAGAGAGAGAUGGGGCAGAAGUUUCUUUCGAGGAGAAAUAGAGGGAGAGAGAGGAAGAAAUAUGUUUUGCCACUGAGAGAGAGGGAAGGGUUUCAUUUGAAAGAAUUUCUUCCCAGAAGAAAUAGAGGGAGAGAGAGGAAGAAAUGUGUUUUGCCAG
rnacentral:lncRNA from 1 species